UGUCAGACAGAUAAACAAUGAGCUGAAACUCACUAUAAAGCUGUGUAAAGCUGAUAAUUCUCUGCAUGUUCAUUACUACCACAGACACCUUUCACAUUGACAUUUUUUUUGCAUUGUCACUGAUAGCCACUUUAAGGAUUGUCUUUGUUGUGGGGGAAGGGUGGAUGAGCUUUUUCUGCAAUUAUUAUAUUUCUAUAUUUAUUAUAUUUUCCAUAUUAGUUUCCCAUGUUUUCCACCAUCACAAACUACAGUUUCAAAACUUGUUGUUGUUGUUGAAUCAGACUGUUGUACUGAAUUGCAGUGACUUGUACAAGAGUUUCUGUUUCUCUCAUUACUAAAAAUAUUUUAUGCAUAUGGGACAUGCAGUAGAGGCCUUUCGACUCACUGGAAUGUGUUUCUUCUUGACAUCCAUUUAGCUAUAGUAAAUAAUUGCAUUUGUGAAUAAAAGAGGAACACAGGAAAACGCAGAAAAAGACAGAACAUACUAUCUAAAGUUUCAGAAAGCCACAACAUAUAAGAAUACGUAAGAAAUACUAUCUGGUGCAGUGAAGAUCAGCUAACAGGACUCUAAUGCAACAUAAGCUGUAGCAGACAGCUACGGCUCAAACAGCCGGAACAAAGACCUGAGGUCAGACUGUGACUCCGCUGCUCUGUGAGAGGAGAAGUGGAUUAAAGGGCCACUGAGUCGGUCACCAUCAAUUGUUUUGGGAUGAAAGCAAAGAAAGGCGUUCACAUAGCGCCGGUCAGCUGGUUCCCGUCCAGCUGUCUGUGGCUGUUUCAGGGACAGAGGAAUGUCACGACUACCCCCCUCAAUCCACAGGGACAGCACUUGUUUGGCAGCCAGCCAUCCCCCCUCCGCAUUCACACACCAGACAAAGACGGACGGCAAGAGUCUAUACUGCUUUUUUUGUGACAGAGGAGGAAUGGUCUGUCCUUGUGGCCAGAUAAUGCUAAAACAUAUUUGUUUAAUGAAAACUUACACUGUGUUUGGUUCCUGUCACAUUAACAAAUCAUUCAUUAUUGUGUCUUUGAAUGUAAUUUAUCACCAGAUCGCCAUGACAUUUGGUAUGAUAUCUGUGGUCCACAGAGGAUAUUUCUGAAUUGUUUGGGGUGGCCACUUGACCUUUUGUGCAGCGCUGCCAGGAAGUCAAAAUUCAAGACUGUUUUCACCUUAAAAGUGACAGCAUUUGUCAUGAAUUAAAAGCAACCUGCAUAUGACAACCUGACAUCGACCUCUAACGACUACACGAAUAAUGACUCUGUCCGGACCAAAGGCCGAAGUAGUGUGAUGUUAUCAUAGCACCACAAAACGUCUUCUCGGGAGGAAGUUGGGUGGAAGGUUUGGAUCAGCAAAGCGUGUGACUUCCUGUUUCCUACCAACAGUCAGCGUUGGUUUGUUUUAACCAUGACCACCGCCUUUGUCUAACUGUAACCGAGUGGUUUUUGUGCCCAAACUUAACCAAACCCAUGUCCCAUGCUGGUACAACAAGAUUGUUUCAGAUGGCGAUGACAAACGACACUUUGGACCAUGACAAGGUUUCUCAAAAAUAAAAUGCUGUAUAUCCAUAACGCUUGAUACAUUGGCGGUCUAUAAUCUAUAGUCCCCAGAGGAUAAAUAUGGUUUUUAAUUUGACCAUUCUCGCAUUUCACACAAGAAAUAUCAAAAUCUAAGAGGCAGAUUUGCAUAAAAUGUCCUGAUCCCCAGAGGAUGAACUCUCGUGCCACCUUCAGGACAAACGCCAUUACUUGUAAGACUUUAAGAAUAGCUAAAUCUCUAGUAUGUGGUUUUUGCCUCAGUUCACGAUUUUGACUCUUUGUCUGUAAAAGAAAAAAGCAUUCAUUUAUCUCUGUCCAGUUGUAGUUUUAAGAAUUAUUUUAUCUUAUUCUGAGAAGGGAAAAAAAGGGAUGUUAAGACUGAAUGAUUUACGAUUAUGGGAUUUACAAUUCAGCAAACUUUAUCGAUCCCCAGGGAAAAAGAGUGCUCACAGACCUGAACAUAAAAUACACAAAACAUAGUAAAGUACAAAACAAUAUGACACAAAUAAGUAAAGAAAAAAGAGCUUAAACAUAUCACAUAAAAUACAAUGUAUGUAAAUCACUGCAUUUCAUAAAACCUACAGUAGAUGGACAUGGCGGCAUUUAAUUGGGUCAGCUGAUGUCUGUUUGAUUCUUUGAUGUAUUGGACUUUAAUGUUGUUCAGGCCAUUAGUGGAAGUGUCCUUGUCAAAUAUCAGGGUCUCUUUAGUGACUCUCAUGAGGAAUUAAUAACAUGAGCAGCUCUCUCUGAACCCGCUGACACUGAUAUCACACACUAAGCCGUGCAAGCUAAUUAAUGAGAAGAGAUUUAAAAAGAGAAUACAUGCAAGCUUAGAAAGAGAAAACUAGAAUCUGUAUAAAGCUCCUCUGUCCUUUAAGCACAGAGGUAUGAACAAGGUCAUUAAAAGGUCAGCUCCAUCCAGCAGCCUGUAAAGUUGCGUUUUUAUAGCCUUUGGUUUUGUCCAGCUGAGUGAGUCCAUGUUUCUUGGUCAUCCGGCUGUUUCAAACUGCACUGAUGCCACUUUCCCUUCGAGGUACUACACCCACACCAGCUGACAGAGGCCUGUAAAGUCACCACAGACAGCAGGGAGAUACCCAGUGAACCAACAGAGCUGUCAAGUGAAGAGGUGAUAUAUCCCCCCGGCCAAAUACUGCAACAACAACACUGCUUUGUUAUUUGUUUUUAACCCAUUAUGAACCAUAUCCACAUGCUCACACGGGGCUGUACAGCUGUUCCCUGUUUGUUUAGUCUUGCGACAUACUUCCACAAUUACAGCAAAGAUACUUUUGUUUUUGUCUUUCUUUCCAAGUUAUUUUCAGGCUGUCGGUGACGUUGCGGGGAAGUAAUACUUGCGACGUGUGGCUGCUGCGGGAGUGUGGAAAGUGAUGAUGCAGAGGUGUGCUAUGUGAGGCUACAGCCACGUCACUGAAGGGGUGUGGACACACGUCUGUUGAUCACACACCAGCCCUGACUUGUUCGUCAGCCAAGAAGCACACAUGCUCCCGAGCUGCUGUUUGUGGUUUGAAUCGGCACAGAUGUGUCUUUUAACUGCUCAGAAAAGUCUAUGAAAUGUUUUUUUUUGUUUUUUUUAAAUCCCAAGAACAUUUUGAAGAGAGGGUGUCAUCUCAGAUCCAGGGAGGGAACUCAAAGACCUCUGACAGAGAUAAGCAGUCUUUAAGAGAAAUGACAUCUGUUCUUGAGAAAUAACUCCUGCAGCCCACACGUUUACAGAUCAUCACUUCCUGCUUUACACAUCUGCAGCGCUUACUGGAAGAA